rnacentral:rRNA from 1 species
UACGGAGGGUGCAAGCGUUAAUCGGAAUUACUGGGCGUAAGCGCACGCAGGUGGCUGAGUCAGUCGAUUGUGGAAAGCCCUGGGCUUAACCUGGGAAUUGCAGUCGAUACUACUCAGCUAGAGUAUGGGAGAGGGUAGCGGAAUUCCUGGUGUAGCGGUGAAAUGCGUAGAUAUCAGGAGGAACACCGGUGGCGAAGGCGGCUACCUGGACAGAAACUGACGCUGAGGCGCGGAAAGCUAGGGGAGCAAACAGG